rnacentral:lncRNA from 1 species
AUGGUAGCUGCUAUCAAACACCUUUCCACUCUCAAGCUUUCCGACAUAAUGGGCCUGUUCGGUGAUGUUGUGCUGGCAAUGGUGGUUCUGGUGGAGUGUGGUGGCGAAAGGGUGAGGUAGGUGGGUGGAAUAGGUUGAAGAUGGAGAUGGUGGGUCCCACAAAGAUAGAUUGGAGGUGUUUGAUUGGGUGGGGCCCAUUGAAUUUAUAAAUGUUUUAUUGUUUUUAUUAUUAUGUUUUGUAGUAAGGGCUUUUUAGUAAUUUCACAUCCACCUAACACCAAAAACUAACCCCCAUUCGCGCCAGGGACUAUCUUGGAACGAAAUUGCAAAAGUUGGGGACUAUAGCUGUAAUUUUAGAAAGUUAGGGACUAAAGGUGAAAAAUUAGCAAACCACAGGGACUAUCUGGGCAUUUCUCCCAAAUAAUGACUUUCCCGACCAUGCGCCGACUAUAAGGGUGUGUCCCAAAUCGCGCGCUAGGUUAGGACAAAGAUGAAAUAAAUUCCGACACUUAGUUCCUUUAACAAAAUACCUAGCUUCCUUGACCUUGCGCCAAGUACACGAGGUGUACCCAAGUCGCGCGGGGGCAAGAAGCCAUAGUUGUUAAUAGCGACCAUAGCAGUCGCUAUAGGGCGCUUUAUGGCGAUGCGACUAUGUGUUGCUAUGUUGGUUAUGGCGAUGAAUAGCGAGCUUAGUUUUUUUUUUGUCGUCUGGAAUGCAUAAUCUGGUUAAAAAAGCAGAAGGUAAUUGUGCAAAAACUGGCACACGCGGGCCCGAGGUUUUCGGAGCUGCAUUUGUGUCCGAAGGACGUGCGGGCAUGCACGAGUUCAAUUAAAUUACAUGUAAAAUAGCAUCUAUGCAAGGGUAUUUUUGAUUUAAUAUACAUAUAAAAAUUUUCAAAAAUAUUUUUCUAGUGUAAUCGCUAUUUGUCGCUAUUCGCUAUCGACAACUAUGCAAGAAGCAGGGCAACAUCGGACAAGUACAAAAAGAACGAAUGGCAGAGCAGUGGGCCAAUAGACGCUCAACAGACUGUAUUCUAUCGUGCUACAUGAUGAUCAAUCGUGCAGGGGACAAUGUUGAAGGGCCAAAUAUGCCAAUCAUACAAACUUAAAAUAAGUUAAUUGUCAUUGAAGCUCAAUAAAACAAUUUCUUUAAUCGUACUAUGGGUGUGACAUAGCAAUAAAACAAUUAUCUAUAUAUUAACAAAUGUGCAACUUGGCAUUAUUAAUUAUAAUGUAAUCCAUGAAAUAUUAUAAAAUGGACUAACCAUGUCGUUAUGUGGUGACAGCUACACAUACCUACACAUUACCUACUCCUAACAAAAUAAUUGUUAAAAUAUGUUGAUAAAGUAUUAAGUGUUCGAAUAUAACGGGAAGACUUAUUAGUGUUAGGAAGGUUAGGAAGUAACUUUGAUCAUUGAAUGAUUAAGGGUUUUAAUUAAAUGGGUUGAAUUGAACAAAAACUAGAGGCAUGUGAGAUUGUUUAAGGGUACUAGUCUUAAAGACAAUAGUUUCUAUCUCCUUCAUUUUUAAAAUGUUAAUAAUUAUUUCAUAUGAUUUUAUUUUUUAUAAAAAUUACACAAAAAAAUAGUGUUUUUUUAUCUUCAAAACAAAUAUACUAUUAUUAUACUUUUAAAUUUUUAAUUAACUAACCAAUGUGCAACUUGGCGUUAUUAAUUAUAAUAAAAUCCAUGAAAUAUUAUAAAAAGUACUAACCAAGUCGUUGUUAUGUGGUUACAACUACACAUACCUACACAUUACCUACUCCUUACAAAAUACUUGUUAAAAUAUGUUGAUAAAAUAUUAAGGGUCCCGAAGAUGUAUUAGUGUAUGAAUAAUAUAAUCCAUGAAAUAUUAUAAAAAGUACUAACCAAGUCGUUGUUAUGUAGUGACAGCUACACAUACAUACACAUUACCUACUCCUUACAAAAUAUGUAGUGACAGCUACACAUACCUACAUAUUACCUACUCCUUACAAAAUAUUUGUUAAAAUAUGUUGAUAAAAUAUUAAGGGUCCGGAAGAUGUAUUAGUGUAGGAAUAUUAUAAAGUAAUAUUGACUAUUAGUUGAGUAAUUAUGGGUUUUGAUUAAAUGGGUUGAAUUGAAAAAAACUAGAGGCGCUUGAGAUUGUUUAAGGGCAUUCUAGUCAAUCAAAGACCAUAGUUUUUCUCUCUUCCAAUUCUCUCCCAUUUUUAAAACGUUAAUAAGUCUUUCAUACAACACUAUUUUUUUUUAUAAAAAUUGCACCAUAAAAACGAAUGUUUUUUUUUAUCUUCAAAACGAGUAUACUAUUGCUAUAAUUUUGAAUUUUUUCGUCAAAAACCCAGAUACGUAAAAAGCAAUGGACAAAAAACAUUUUUUUUUUAUUCUUUUGUAAACACAGUGGACAAAAAAACACACAAAAAUGUGUUUUUUCAUUCUUUUGUAAAACGUAAUGGACAAAAAACACACAAAAAAUGUGUUUUUUUUUUGUAAAACGCAAUGAACAAAAAACAUACAAAAAUUGUGUUUUUCAUUUUUUAAAACGCAAUGAACAUAAAACACAAAACACAUAUCUUUUUUCAUUCUUUUGUAAAACGCAAUGGAGUAAAAACAAAAUUUAAAAAAAGUCAAUGAAGUAAUAC